AUUGAACGCUGGCGGCAUGCCUUACACAUGCAAGUCGAACGGUAACGGGCCUUCGGGUGCCGACGAGUGGCGAACGGGUGAGUAAUACAUCGGAACGUGCCCGAUCGUGGGGUAUAACGAGUCGAAAGCUUUGCUAAUACCUCAUACGAUCUACGGAUGAAAGCAGGGGACCGCAAGGCCUUGCGCGGACGGAGCGGCCGAUGGCAGAUUAGGUAGUUGGUGGGAUAAAAGCUUACCAAGCCGACGAUCUGUAGCUGGUCUGAGAGGAUGAUCAGCCACACUGGGACUGAGACACGGCCCAGACUCCUACGGGAGGCAGCAGUGGGGAAUUUUGGACAAUGGGCGCAAGCCUGAUCCAGCCAUGCCGCGUGCAGGAUGAAGGCCUUCGGGUUGGAAAAUGCUUUUGUACGGAACGAAAAGCAUUCUUUUAAUACAGGAGGGUCAUGACGGUACCGUAAGAAUAAGCACCGGCUAACUACGUG
rnacentral:rRNA from 1 species